rnacentral:lncRNA from 1 species
GAAGGCAGGAAGGAAGGAAGGAAAAAAGAAAAGAAAAGAAAUAAGGAAAAAAAUGAAGCUGUUGAAAGUACACGGGCAAGCGUAGGGUUACAGAAACCCAGUGGGGGAGGCUGAUUCAGGCUGUGGCUGGGGUCGCACCCAGGCAAGGCUCUCCAAAAGGAGGAGUGUAUUCUGUUUAGAUAUCAGCAAUAGUCAGACAUGCUGAGGUAAUGAAAGGGAAAGUGUGUAUUUAAUUCUCAUUGCUAAAGCAACAGCAACCUAUGGUAUUGACAUUAUAGGACACACUGCAUAAUGAAGUCUGUUAAUGAGUAUUAAUAAAAUUGGCACUUUUUUUUUCAUUGAGAUGAAUGCUUCGCAAGCCUCAGGAAUAGUUUUUGAUGGUUCCGUGAGAACCGAUCAGGAGCUCUGGAAGAGGAAAUCUGACGUGUGAGCAAAAACAGCAAGUCCUGAAGCAGAACAUCUCAGUGGCAGCUUUGACUCACCCCCGUGUCUGAGCAGUCUCCAAUCUGACAGGUUGCCAUGGUGGAAAGAAUCCAGAGACAGCUUCCAAUAAUUUCUCCCCUCCCUGGGCUUUUGUGCCCUUCCUCAGUUCAAGAGAUGAGUCUGUGUGCCCUCCCCUGAGAUCUGACUGGCCUAUGGCUUGUUUUUCACCAGUAGGUUGUGGAGGCUAUUCUGUAGGACUUCCAAGCCUGGGCCUGAAGAGGAUGGGCAGAUGCUACUAUCUCUCUGGAGCACAGGUGCCAUGCUUUAAGGAAGUCCAGGCUAGAUGACUUCAAGGUCAGAGGUUAUAUGAAGAGAGGCCUUGGAGGAAGAGCAGUUUCAGAUCUAGCCAAGCUCCCAAGUGAAUUCAGAUGCGUGAGAAACCCAAGGGAGACCAACAGAAAAUCACCCUGCUGAGCCCUGGUGUAUUAGUCUGUUUUCAUGCUGCUUGUGAAGACAUACCAUAGGCUGGGCAAUUUACAAAAGAAAGAGGAUUAAUUGGACUUACAGUUCCACGUGGCUGGGGAAGCUUCACAAUCAUGGCGGAAGGUAAGGAGGAGCAAGUCACAUCUUACUCGAAUUGCAGCAGGCAAAGAGAGAAUGAGCACCAAAGAGAAGGAUUUCUCCUUAUCAAACCAUCAGAUCUUGUGAGACUUACUACCACGAGAAAGGCUUGGGAGAAGCCUCCCCCACGAUUCAAUGAUUUUCCACCGGGUCCCUCCCAAGACAUGUGGGAAUUCAAGAUGAGAUUGUGGUGGGGACACAGCCAAAUUAUAUCACCUGGCCAGAGUCCUGAUCUACAGAAUCAUGAGGAAAUGUAAACCAUUGUUCUAAGCCACUAAGUUUUGGAGUUUUAUUACAGCAAUAAUAAUUGAAAAGUUUCUCCUUCUGGCUCUGUAAUUGGACUGUAAGUUCAAUUAGUCCAAUUAUGGCAUUGUAUUAUAUUUUCAUUGUAUUUCCAUUGUAUUGCAGUCUUGUCUAAGCCCAUUUGGUCAUACCCAAUAAUUAGCUGGGCAGCUAUUGGUAGCCUCCAAUCAAGGGUGUUUAUCCCAAGAAUCAUGAAAUUCAAGAAAGUUGUGAACACAGAUGGGGAAAAAGAUAACAUCUUUAUUUUCAUUAAUGUUUAACUGAAAUUUAGCAUUGCCUUUCGUUACAAAUGAGACAAGAAACCACAGUAGUAUAAAAAUUCUUGUGGCUUUGUCACAAGUGAUUUCUACUGUCGCUAAUAGAAAUCACAUAUUUUUUUCAUAUCACAUUACAAUUGACUUCAUUCUUUAAG